UACGAAGGGGGCUAGCGUUGUUCGGAAUUACUGGGCGUAAAGCGCACGUAGGCGGAAUAUUAAGUCAGAUGUGAAAGCCCGGGGCUCAACCUCGGAACUGCAUUUGAAACUGUUAGUCUAGAGGUCAGGAGAGGUUCGUUGAAUGCCGAGUGUAGAGGUGAAAUUCGUAGAAAUUCGGUGGAACACCAGUGGCGAAGGCGACGAACUGGACUGAUACUGACGCUGAGUUGCGAAAGUGUGGGGAGCACACAGG
rnacentral:rRNA from 1 species